AUGCUUUGGCACUCCACACCGGCCAGCCGCGGCCUUUCGCCCAAGCCGCCAGCCGCGGGGAGGCGACCCACGGCCCACCCAGCGCGAGGACGGAAGAGGCGCGUGCCCGGCAGCCAGGGCCAGCGGGCAGACAGACAGAGCCGAGCACUGCAGCAGAGAGUCUGCCACCCCUCCCCCCUAUUAAUAAGGCGCCGUACGCGUGCUGGCCACCUCACCACCCCCCACAGCAUCUCGCGAUCCCAAAGUCCAACCAGCCUCCGCCGCCUCUCCUCGCCUCGCCUGCGAGAUCAGCGCCGCCUUCUCCCCCGUCUGUUUCGUCGGAGGAGUAUCAGCAAGAUGUCAACUGCCACUGCUCCAGGAGUGUCCUUUGCUAAAUUCGGGUCUGGUUCCCGGGCUGUUGCUCCGGCGAUCAGGAGCGCUUCCUUCAUCGGUUACGCCAAGCAAACACCAAACUUGUCUGGCCUAAGGAUGUCAAACAAGUUCAGGGUGUCUGCCGCGGCCGUGCACAAGGUGAAGCUCAUAAGCCCAGACGGUGAAGAGCACGAGUUUGAGGCCCCUGAAGACACCUACAUUCUCGAGGCAGCUGAAAAUGCUGGAGUGGAGCUGCCAUUCUCCUGCCGCGCCGGAUCGUGCUCCACAUGCGCGGGCAAGAUGACUACCGGGGAGGUUGAUCAGUCGGAGGGCUCCUUCCUCGAUGAGAACCAGAUGGGUGAGGGAUACCUUCUGACCUGUAUUUCAUACCCCAAGGCGGAUUGCGUCAUUCAAACCCACCAAGAGGAGGAACUCUACUAG
rnacentral:rRNA from 1 species